rnacentral:rRNA from 1 species
AGAGUUUGAUCAUGGCUCAGGACGAACGCUGGCGGCGCGCUUAACACAUGCAAGUCGAGCGAGAACCUGGCCUUCGGGCCUGGGGAAAGCGGCGAACGGGUGAGUAACACGUGGGUAACCCACCCUUGGUACCGGGAUAGCCCGGGGAAACCCGGAUUAAUACCGGAUGGCCCAACAGCUCUUCGGGGCGGUUGGAAAAGGUAGCUUCGGCCUCCGACCAAGGACGGGCCCGCGGCGGAUUAGCUUGUUGGUGGGGUAACGGCCUACCAAGGCGACGAUCCGUAGCUGGUCUGAGAGGACGAUCAGCCACACUGGGACUGAGACACGGCCCAGACUCCUACGGGAGGCAGCAGUGGGGAAUCUUGCGCAAUGGGCGAAAGCCUGACGCAGCGACGCCGCGUGGGGGAAGAAGGCUUUCGGGUUGUAAACCCCUUUCAGGAAGGACGAAGCCACUCGGGUUAAUAGCCCAGAGGGUGACGGUACUUCCAGAAGAAGCCCCGGCUAACUACGUGCCAGCAGCCGCGGUAAUACGUAGGGGGCAAGCGUUGUCCGGAUUUAUUGGGCGUAAAGAGCGUGUAGGCGGCCAUGUAGGUCCGUUGUGAAAACUCGAGGCUCAACCUCGAGACGCCGACGGAAACCAUAUGGCUAGAGUCCGGAAGAGGAGAGUGGAAUUCCUGGUGUAGCGGUGAAAUGCGCAGAUAUCAGGAAGAACACCCGUGGCUAAGGCGGCUCUCUAGUACGUGACUGACGCUGAGACGCGAAAGCGUGGGGAGCGAACAGGAUUAGAUACCCUAGUAGUCC